rnacentral:rRNA from 1 species
UGCCGAACACAGAAGUUAAGCCUCUUAACGCCGAUGGUACUACGAUGGAAACGUCGUGGGAGAGUAGGUAGUCGCCAAAC